rnacentral:rRNA from 1 species
GAUGAACGCUAGCGGCAGGCCUAAUACAUGCAAGUCGAACGGUGUCUUCGGACAUAGUGGCGCACGGGUGCGUAACACGUAUGCCACCUACCUUACCUUGGGGGAUAGCCUUUCGAAAGGGAGAUUAAUACCGCAUAAGACAGUAGCUGGGCAUCCAGCAGCUGUUAAAGAUUUAUCGAUGUAAGCUGGGCAUGCGUCCAAUUAGCUAGUUGGUGAGGUAACGGCUCACCAAGGCAAUGAUUGGUAGGGGAACUGAGAGGUCAAUCCCCCACACUGGCACUGAGAUACGGGCCAGACUCCUACGGGAGGCAGCAGUAGGGAAUAUUGGGCAAUGGACGCAAGUCUGACCCAGCCAUGCCGCGUGCAGGAUGAAGGCGUUAUGCGUUGUAAACUGUUUUUAUACAGGAAGAAACGACUCUUGCGAGAGGCAUUGACGGUACUGUAUGAAUAAGCACCGGCUAACUUCGUGCCAGCAGCCGCAGUAACAC